rnacentral:rRNA from 1 species
GACGAACGCUGGCGGCGUGCUUAACACAUGCAAGUCGAACGGAAAGGCCCUGCUUUUGUGGGGUGCUCGAGUGGCGAACGGGUGAGUAACACGUGAGUAACCUGCCCUUGACUUUGGGAUAACUUCAGGAAACUGGGGCUAAUACCGGAUAGGAGCUCCUGCUGCAUGGUGGGGGUUGGAAAGUUUCGGCGGUUGGGGAUGGACUCGCGGCUUAUCAGCUUGUUGGUGGGGUAGUGGCUUACCAAGGCUUUGACGGGUAGCCGGCCUGAGAGGGUGACCGGCCACAAUGGGACUGAGGUACGGCCCAGACUCCUACGGGAGGCAACAGGGGGGAAUAUUGCACAAUGGGCGGAAGCCUGAUGCAGCAACGCCGCGUGCGGGAAGACGGCCUUCGGGUUGUAAACCGCUUUCGCCUGUGACGAAGCGUGAGUGACGGUAAUUGGUAAAAAAGCCACGGCUAACUACGUG